UACGUAGGGGGCAAGUGUUGUCCGGAAUCAUUGGGCGUAAAGCGCGUGUAGGCGGCUCGGUAAGUCUGCUGUGAAAGUCCAGGGCUCAACCCUGGGAUGCCGGUGGAUACUGUCGAGCUCGAGUCCGGAAGAGGCGAGUGGAAUUCCUGGUGUAGCGGUGAAAUGCGCAGAUAUCAGGAGGAACACCAAUGGCGAAGGCAGCUCGCUGGGACGUGACUGACGCUGAGACGCGAAAGCGUGGGGAGCAAACAGG
rnacentral:rRNA from 1 species